rfam:Methyloversatilis sp. RAC08, complete genome.
CCUCUUCGAUCUGCUGCGGGCAGAUGAAAUGGAUGUGGCUGUCGAUGCCGCCCGCGGUGACGAUCAUGCCUUCGCCGGCGAUGAUUUCGGUGCCCGGGCCGAUCACGAUAUCCACACCGGGCUGGAUGUCCGGAUUGCCGGCCUUGCCGAUGGCGGCGAUGAAGCCGUUCUUCAGGCCGAUGUCGGCCUUCACGAUGCCCCAGUGGUCGACGAUGAGCGCAUUGGUGAUGACGGUGUCCAUCACGUCGACGCUCAUGCGCUGGCUCUGACCCAUGCCGUCGCGG